rnacentral:rRNA from 1 species
AGCGCAGGCGGGAAGACAAGUUGGAAGUGAAAUCUAUGGGCUCAACCCAUAAACUGCUUUCAAAACUGUUUUUCUUGAGUAGUGCAGAGGUAGGCGGAAUUCCCGGUGUAGCGGUGGAAUGCGUAGAUAUCGGGAGGAACACCAGUGGCGAAGGCGGCCUACUGGGCACCAACUGACGCUGAGGCUCGAAAGCGUGGGGAGCAAACA